AGCUGAUUUGGUGCUCAAGGAGGAGAGUAGUGCGCCAGUCCAGUCCAGCGGACACAGUCGUUAUCUCUGCUACAGGGUGACCGAGCAUCUUUUGGACCCGCUGCUCUGCCAACAUCAUGCUGGACGUCCUGAUGUUGAUGUUUUUCGCCAUCAUCGGUCUUAUGUUCCUGUCCUACAUCAUCUACAUGCUGUGAUCACGGCAGCAUCGAUGGACCGUCGUGAGAGCGGAUGCGUGAUUGAUUCACGUCCUCGGGAGGGGUUUGAGCGGAAAGGAUGAAACUGUUUGUGGGAUCAUGAGAGGAGGAGCACUGGAGGAGGACGCAGGACACACUUACAAGAUCCACCUACACCACACUUGAUUUUCUUCCCUUUUAUUCAGAAGACACUAUGAUUCAAAUAUAUAUUUUUCUUAAAUGUACAGGCCCUGGCUGAUGCAGUACCACAGAACCAUAAGAUCUAAUGGCUGUCUGGCUAUUACUAUUUUUAUUUUCUAUUCUUCUGUGCAGAAUUUCAGCAGAUACCUACUUACAAACCCCCAGUAUAAUUGACACUGUAAUCAAAUGCAUGUAGUUUUUGUCAUAAAUGACUGAUUUAAAAAAAAUAAAGAGCAUUUGUGAAG